ACCAGGGUGGCUCAGUUGGUUGAGCUUCUGACUUCAACUCAGGUGAUGAUCUCACAGUUCCUGGGUUCGAGCCCUGCAUUAGGU
rnacentral:tRNA from 1 species